rnacentral:misc_RNA from 1 species
GAUGAAGAACGCAGCGAAAUGCGAUACGUAAUGUGAAUUGCAGAAUUCAGUGAAUCAUCGAAUCUUUGAACGCACAUUGCGCCCCUUGGUAUUCCGAGGGGUAUGCCUGUUCGAGCGUCAUUAUCACCCCUCAAGCCCUGGCUUGGAGUUGGACUUUUUCGGUUUGGCGACGACAGACCGGUCUCAAAGAUAGUGACGGCGUCCCAGAAGGAGCCCGUACGAGGAGCUUUUAGUUAAGCAUGUAUGCGGUGUGACUCUGUGGGCGGCGGUCUUUACUUAAUAAUUUAUACCAGUGUUGACCUCGGAUCAGGUAGGAAUACCCGCUGAACUUAAGCAUAUCAAUAAGCGGAGGA